rnacentral:rRNA from 1 species
UACGUAGGGUGCGAGCGUUGUCCGGAAUUAUUGGGCGUAAAGAGCUCGUAGGCGGUGUGUCACGUCGUCGUGAAAACCUGCAGCUUAACUGUGGGCGUGCGGUCGAUACGGGCAUCACUGGAGUUCGGCAGGGGAGACUGGAAUUCCUGGUGUAGCGGUGAAAUGCGCAGAUAUCAGGAGGAACACCGGUGGCGAAGGCGGGUCUCUGGGCCGAUACUGACGCUGAGGAGCGAAAGCAUGGGGAGCGAACAGG